CAAGGUCCUAGCAGGACGAAGGAAGGAAGAGCCGCGUCAAAGGUGUGGAGGAAAGCUAGAAGUUUUCUUUGCCGACCUUUCCUAGGCUUUACCAGACUUACUUCUGCAGCGAGUUUCAAAGGAAGCGGGAUUGUUGCUAGCGAAAUGUAAUAAGAGCGACUUAUAAUGAUGGCGUAGGACCUGUCGGGAAUGGGUGGAGCGGAGGGGCGCGGCCGACCGUCUAGAAGGGGGGCACGAUUGGAAAAGAAGUUGUAUGAGGUGAUUUAGACGACAGCGGCGGGGAGAGGAGGGAGGAGGCGCCGCCGCGUGGGUGAUUUGGCCACACUAGAGAUGUGCUAUGCUCUGAAGCUCAACUGAAUUGGUUGUACAGGACCACUUCAAAUGGCAUCAGCUUAUGAAGAUAAAGGAAAAGGGGGGCAACCUAAACCUCUAGGAUCACUUUUUCAAUGGGGAGAAGCCCUAUCUGCAGUAAAAGAUCAAAUUCCUUCACUAGACUCUGAUACAUCAGUGUCUGAUGGGGAGGAAGAUGACGGAGAGCUUUUCAUCUUCCAGCGAGAUCAACCCAAUCUGAUUCCUGACUUGUCAAAAGAACUUGAGGAUCUUCCUCCAGCACAGGAACACUUACAGAAAACAUAUGCAUUCAUGAGACAUCCCAGAGAGGCCUGGAAUGAAGAUCAAGAAAAUUCAGCAUUUCAGAAAGAUAGAAGUGCUCUCCAGUUUGGAUCUAUGGGAUUCACAUUAGAAAACAGAGAUGGCUUGGGCGUUCUGGUAGAAGAAAGGCUUGGCCAAGAAGCCAUAUUUACUUCAGAGUCCUCUCAAGAGGACCAUAAACCUUUACGGGUAACUUCAGGAGUUCUCACUCUAGAAGAUGCGAGGAAGGAGGACUUUCUACAUCCAGUAUCUGAUGUUGUACCCUCUGNAGAAGUGUCACCUUUUCUAAAUUUAAACACUAGUGAAGAAGAGCGAAGGGUAUUAAUAGAAACAAAAAUUCUUUCUAAGGUGUCGUUAGAACCAUCUUCUGGAGAUGGAAGUCGUUCUCAGCCAGAAAAUGGUUCAGAAAGAACGACCAAGGCAGAAAAAGGGAUGGGAGACAUUCCAGCUGAACACCCUCAAAAGCUAAUGCUGUCUGGAUUCAAGGAUCUUGAGAAGUGGAAUUUAGACAAACUUCUGCAGGACUUGAAGAAGGGAACUCUGGAUACAAACUGGACCGCCAAAACUACUUUUUCUUUUAUGGAUCAUGAAACCACAAGGAUCUCUUCACAAAGGUCACUCAUGGGAAAAUUGGAAGAACUGUGUCAAGAGCAGUCAAGGACACUUUUCUGGGAGCACAGGAAAUGCCGGACCAAGCGUCCUCACUUUGAUCAGUGCCAGGGAGAUGGGAGCCACGUUCCUAUCUCGGCAUCAUCCAUAAAUGGUCAUAGCCUGACUCCAGAGGAAUUGCAAUGUGUUCCAGAACCACCAACUAUAUACAUUGAUUUGAGGGAUGCAGCACCUCAGAGGCCAGAGCUGUUGGCUGUUGAAAAGCAAAGCUCGAGUGACAGUUCCACAGAUGAAGAGGAAGAUGCAGAAAUAACAGGCCAAGAGAAAAUUGGAGAGAAAAUGAAGGGUUUUUCCCAACCAUCACGCAAGGAUUGCACAGGGAAAAGCUUUCUCUUGCAGCAGCUUCGUAACUUUCGCAAAACCAUGUCUCAGUCUACAGCAGAUGGAGGAAGAGACCAGAAUCUUGAGGGUUCAAAACAAACUGGUUGGCUGAAUCUUAAGAGGAGCCAGAACCUAAAAUGGAAGGACCUUACUUCAGUGACACCAGAGAAUUCAGAAUCAGAUAAAAGGACCUCCGCCCUCCUUGGCCUUAACAGUGUAGUUAAGCCUUCUAAGGAACCAGGGAAAGAAAUUGAAAUAGACCCAGACCCUAAGUUGCCUCAAGGUUCUUUUAGCUCUCAUAAUGAUCUUGAGAGGAUGGAUGAGAGCAUGAAACAGAAGCUCAGGGAACAGCAAGAGAAAUCGGCAUCUCAGUGAUCCAUCACUGGGAAACAGCCCAUGGCAGAAUAAGCUCCCACUCUGUUCUAUAUGAUCAGUUGCACACAGUAGCCAGAGAGCACUUUCUUCUGGAAAUCCCAUGCUUCAUAUAGCCCUGGUCCUGCUCUGUGCAGGAUGUGAUUGAAACAACCUGGCGUGAGUUUUCCAACUUGGACCAUAACAGGCUGCAUGAGCAAACCAGGGAAAACUUUUCAACCAUUUAUUUAAGUAUGUUGUCAGUCUUAUCGUUCCACUAAAAAAUGGUUUCUUCUUCUCCUCGUCUGUGGCUGGCAGAGCUACUAACUUCNGGGAAUGGCUGGGUGCUCCUGAGUUUGGGCAAAUUCCUUUUGGACUACGGUUCCCAUGGCCGAUCAAUGAAAGAAAUGUUCCUCUGAACUCAGCUGCCCCAUCAGCAUACGGAAGCAGCAGCAUUUUCAACCCAUGUGAUUGCUGUUGCAUUUUCUAUCAGUUGCGCUUUAAAGGAAGUAAAGUAAAAUAAACAAGAGACAAUCCUCA
rnacentral:lncRNA from 1 species